rnacentral:lncRNA from 1 species
GUAAAUAUUCUGACUACCUUGGUAGCUCAAAAAGAUGAUGAGUUUGUUGCAUUAAAGGUUGCAUCAGUUAAAGAUGCAGAAGAGGCAACCAGUUCUCAUGAAAAGUUGAAAAAAAAAGUUACCCUGCAUAACAAGGUGAAGAAGUUGGAAGCUCAAUUUGAAGCCUUGACUGCAAAAAAUGCUGAUUUGACUCAACAAAUUGUCAAGGUACAUGACACAAAACAUGAAAGAAUGAAUGUACUCCUCGGGCAACUAGAUCUAGCUAUAGGAACUUCUUCCUAAAUCCUUUUUACUAUGGUCCCCACUCUUUUACCUUCCCAGCCCUAUUAUUAAGCCUCAUGAAGCUUUAUUAUCUUUUGUUCUUUUUUGUUUAUGAUGAGUAAAUAGCACAAUUGUUAUGAUAUUUUUUUAGUUAUUAUUUUUAAUGAUAUUUGGUACUGAUUGUUGGAUGAUCGAUAUGUUAAUUCCAAAAUUUUAU